rnacentral:tRNA from 1 species
AUGCGACUGGUGCCGGAUAGAGGAAUCGAACCCCCGACCUUCUCAUUACGAAUGAGCUGCUCUACCGACUGAGCUAAUCCGGC